AUGAACGCUGGCGGCGUGUCUAAGGCAUGCAAGUCGAACGAACGUAGUGCGAUUACAUCAAGUUACGAGAGUGGCAAACGGGUGCGUAACAUAUUGGUAACCUACCUCGAGGCCGUGAACAACCUUGGGAAACCAGGGCUAAUACACGAUACAGAUGCGGGGACGAAAGUCAUUCGCAUUGAAAGAUUUAUCUCCUCGAGAGGGGCCUAUACUCUAUCAGCUAGUUGGCGAGGUAACGGCUCACCAAGGCUAUGACGGAUAGGGGACGUGAGAGCGUGAUCCCCCUCAGUGGGACUGAGACACUGCCCACACACCUACGGGUGGCUGCAGUCAAGAAUCUUCCGCAAUGGGCGCAAGCCUGACGGAGCGACGCCGCGUGCCAGAAGAAGGCCUUCGGGUCGUAAAUGGCUUUUCUCAGGGACGAACAAAUGACGGUACCUGAGGAAUAAGAGGUUGCUAACUCUGUGCCAGCAGCAGCGGUAAUACAGAGACCUCAAGCGUUAUCCGGAGUUAUUGGGCGUAAAGCGUCCGUAGGCGGCUUUGCAAGUCGUGUGUCAAAUAUUCGGGCUCAACUCGAAUACUGCGUGCGAUACUGUGAGGCUAGAGGCUGGGAGAGGUGCAUGGAAUUACGGGUGUAGCGGUAAAAUGCGUUAAUAUCCGUAAGAACACCGAAGGCGAAGGCAGUGCACUGGAACAGUCCUGACGCUCAGAGACGAAAGCGUGGGGAGCGAAUGAGAUUAGAUACCUCAGUAGCCCACGCUGUAAACGAUGAGUGCUAGAUAUCGGGAGUAUCGACCCUCCCGGUGUCGAUCAACCAAGCUAACGCAUUAAGCACUCCGCCUGGGGAGUACGGUCGCAAGACUAAAACUCAAAGGAAUAGACGGGGACCCGCACAAGCGGUGGAGCGUGUGGUUUAAUUCGACGAUAAGCGAAGAACCUUACCUGGGCUCGAAGGUUGGCUGCAAGCCGCUGGAAACAGUGGCCGCUUUAGAAGGUGCCAACCACGGUGCUGCAUGGUUGUCGUCAGCUCGUGGCGUGAGCUGUUCCCUUAAGUGGGGUAACGAGCGCAACCCCUAUGUCGUGUUACAUUGUCACGACAGACUGCCCAUGCAAAUGGGAGGAAGGCGGGGAUGACGUCAAAUCAGCAUGGCCCUUACGUCCAGGGCGACACACGCGCUACAAUGGCCGGUACAAUGGGUUGCCAACCAGCAAUGGGGAGCUAAUCCCACAAAACCGGUCUCAGUUCAGAUUGAGGGCUGCAACUCGCCCUCAUGAAGCUGGAAUCGCUAGUAAUGGCCGAUCAGCCACGCGGCCGUGAAUACGUUCUCGGGUCUUGUACUCACCGCCCGGUCACGUCUAAGAGAGUCGGUAAUGCCCGAACGUCGCCGUAGGGCGGCGGAAGGUAGGACCGAUGAUAGGGACG
rnacentral:rRNA from 1 species